rnacentral:rRNA from 1 species
AUUGAACGCUGGCGGCAUGCCUUACACAUGCAAGUCGAACGGCAGCACGGGGCAACCUGGUGGCGAGUGGCGAACGGGUGAGUAAUGCAUCGGAACGUACCUUUCAGUGGGGGAUAACGUAGCGAAAGUUACGCUAAUACCGCAUAUUCUGUGAGCAGGAAAGCAGGGGAUCGCAAGACCUUGCGCUGAUUGAGCGGCCGAUGUCAGAUUAGCUAGUUGGUGAGGUAAAGGCUCACCAAGGCGACGAUCUGUAGCGGGUCUGAGAGGAUGAUCCGCCACACUGGAACUGGGACACGGUCCAGACUCCUACGGGAGGCAGCAGUGGGGAAUUUUGGACAAUGGGGGCAACCCUGAUCCAGCCAUGCCGCGUGAGUGAAGAAGGCCUUCGGGUUGUAAAGCUCUUUCGGCCGGGAAGAAAUCGCACGGGCUAAUACCCUGUGUGGAUGACGGUACCGGAAUAAGAAGCACCGGCUAACUGCGUGCCAGCCGCCGCGGUAAUAC